AGCGCCUGUGUGGGGCAAAGCGCGGAAGAUAAAAGUACUUUGCAGGCAGUCCUUCCGCGUGCAGUCCUGUAUCGCAAUUUUGCGAUUUUAAAUCGUUC
rnacentral:sRNA from 1 species